UUUUGCGGAACUGAGCAAACGGAACUGCUGGAGUAAAAAAACAAAUUGAAAUACAGUGGUGCCUGCCAGGUAUCAUAGGACAAAGUGAGUCUUGUUAUGUUAAUGUCAAUGUUGUGACCCCCUUAAGUGUUAUGUGCAGGAUACGAAGGACGUCUUCGAAUCAAGAAGAUUGCUAUUUAAGGCAAUUUUGAUUAGAUCCUUGAAUUGCUCCAGAACCAGGACACGGAUAUUUUCCUGUACUGCUGCAAUAACAGCAUAGAGGCCUGCUUCAUUCUACCCAACCACAGAACUAUUUUCGGGUCUGUUUUGGCCAUCAACCUGAAAAGGACACCUUGUGCAAGUUUGCAAUCUUUUCAUACAGUCACUCGGGGGGAGGGGGGAAUGAAGAUUAUUUUUAUUAUUCCAGUUUCUUUGCCUAGCAUUGGCAAAAAGACACACAAGUCCAGUUACAGCUUCCACUGAACAUGAACAGGAUGAACUUUGUGCAAGCCAUUCCACAGUAUGUUUAAAGACCAUGAUACUUGUUUUGUUUCCAUUGUAAUAUUGAAUGUAAUUAUUUAUGCAUUGUCCUUUAAGGAUGUGUUGUUAUUGUUGUUUUUCUUUUGAUUGGUAGCAAAUGUUGUACUUCUACAACUGACUCAAAGGCUUAUGUUUUGCAACAUUUAAAUCACCUCAACACAGUAUAUCACGACGUGGAAGGCAUUAAGACUUAUUCUUCUUUCCCAAGUCUACAGAAUGGUUUAACCGAUGGCCGAGCUGGCACCAGUUUUUUCUUUACAUUUUUCUGGGAAUUUCCGGUUUUAUUUUCUUACAAUGCCUACCCAAUUUAUUUUCCCUCUUUUCCACUCUUGGACAUCAGUGUCCAAGGAAGUCCCCUUGCCCCAGCGAAUUUCCCCUCCAAUGCCGACCUUUUACUUCUUUGAGUGACUCCAAAUGGCUAGGACACCAUGAUGCAGCUAUAAUUUAAAUAAGCCUUGUUUAAAUUCGCCGCAAAUGGGGGAUUAUUUGUUAGUAUAUAUUUUAUAUGUUAUGGCUAUUUUGUUCUUUAGAUGUUUUUGCUUUCCAAAUCCCUUUGAGUGAUUUUGUAAUAGGGGGUUACUGAAUUAGGCCAUUUCAGAGGUGAGGUUCAUCAGUAUAGAGUUUUGGCCCAUUUGUUUACUUUCUCACUCUGCCAUAACAAUCUAGGAUUUGUGUUUGGAAUCCCAUCAAGAUUGCUUUGCUCUCAAAAUGAUUACUGUAUUUUAUUGCUCUUUCAUGCUAUGGGUGCGGGUGCCUUAGAACAUUUUGUGAUUAUGUUGUUAUUGAUAAGUACUAUAUACAACCUAUGCUAACAUAUUUCAAUAGAUGCCUUUGUAGUAUUAAGAAAAUAGUAGGAUGUGAUUUUUCAUUUAAAGUCCCUGUAUGGACCAUCCAGAGAAUAUUAGUUAAUCCAGAUUGUUUCAACACCUCAAACUCAUUGCAUUAGGUUAUGACCUAGCUGAUCUCCAGAAGUUACUUUCUCAUCCUAUGUUACAGAAACAAUUAGAAGCAGUUAAACAAAUGGGAGAGCAAGCUACACUCUAGAUAACACGUGAUUGCCGUACAGUCACUUACAUUAUAGAUAAGCACUCACAGAUAUAGGCACAUGGAUGAUUUUGAAUUCCCUGUUUGGCUGGGGUAAGGACGCCAAAGGAGGUUUAACCCUUAUAAUGCACCCCAUUGUGGUGAUUUUGGUAUUUCAGAAAAUUCUGAUCUUUGCCUAGCUGGCCCUUGUAAUAUGGAUCCAUCUCAUAUGGCACAGUUACACCCUGGAAGUCAGCAUUGGAGCCCGGGGGCAGAUCUGUGAAAGGACGGCUGUGUAUAUCUGCCUUCUAGCUAUAACAGGGGGGGAGUGAUACGGCUUGGCUAACCCCAUUUUGGUUCAAGUGGAACCCAGGAGGUGCAACGCCAAGAGCUAUAACUCCCACCCCCAUUCUCACAUACCCCCACCUGUUGGUAUGGCUGGUAAUGCGUUCUAGAGGUUUGUGCACAGGAAAAGCAAGGGCAAAGUUAAAACGCUGUUGCAUAAAUGUUAUCUUAUUCCUUGGCGGAUACACCCCACCCACAGUGAAUUCCAUUGUUCUUUAGAAAGAUCUUUAGUGUUUUAGUGUCAAUUAGAAGCACACAUGCAGAUACACACAUACCAUUUACCCUACAAGUCAGAGCAGCUGGGAUCUCUGAAAUAGGACACACAUGGUACUUACCAUAGUGGGCUCUACUGAACCUCACUGCCUCAGACCACUAGCUGUCCCUCUUUUUCCCCUCACCUUAAGUUCAAGUAAACUCCCUUAGGACCAUCUGUAGUUAAAUGCAGCUUGCUGAUUGAUCCGUGGGCUCAAUCAGCGCUGAAAUGGGGGAAUUGUUAGGAAAUAUUUUAAUUCCAGGCCCCAAGAGUUGUUCAGAGAUGCUAAAUUGAAGCCAGAACAGAAGACUCUGAGUUUAGUUUCUCCUCUUGUGAGAAAGAACAUUCAGAGGCGCCUUACAGACUGUAGCAUCUUGGAAAAGAGAUAAAAUGUAUCCCAUUCUGGAUUAUUGAUAUUUCCCUUAUCUUGCCUCACUUUACCCAUCCCGUGCAUAUUAACAGACUCAGCAGAAAAGAACAAGUGUUCCCAAAAUACCUUGCAAGAAUGUUUCCAUAGUUUUACUGCUGAAUUGAGAACUUCCACAGGCACACUAGACUCAUCCUUAUCUCUAUAUAAAUGUCAAUCUAACUCUCUUCCUCGCCUCUUAUCUCAAAAUAAGUUUUCUUUGAUUGACAAGUGUAUAAGCUCUUUAUCAAGUUCUCGCUUCUUAAGAAUUAUGAGAAAUGUAACAAGGAUAAACAGACGCGCUUGCUCAUCUCUGUAAUGUUGUAUUUCCUUUGUUAUGAUAUUAUACUUUGUUUUGCUUAUGAAACUAUAUAAUGAGGCUUUACUGAAUAAACGAUGCUCUCUGCCCUGGCAGACUCCUGUCUGUGCAGCUCAGAGAUCCCUCUUGAUCAA